AUGGCCGGGCCCCUUCUCCUCCUCGCGGUGCUCGCCCACAGCUCAGGUUUCCUGGUCCAGGCAGCAGUGACUCAGCCGCCUUCGGUGUCAGCAAACCUGGGAGAAACUGUCCAGAUCACCUGCUCUGGGAUUGACACUGGCAGCGGUUACACUGGUUGGUACCAGCAGAAGGUGCCUGGCCAUGCCCCUGUCACCGUGAUUUACUGGAAUAGCAACAGACCCUCAGACAUCCCUUCACGAUUCUCCGGCUCUGCAUCUGGCUCCACGGGCACGUUAAUCAUCUCUGGGGUCCAAGCCGAGGACGAGGCUGUCUAUUACUGUGGUGGCUAUGAAACUGGUGGUGACGUUUUUGGAGCCGGGACCAUGCUGACCGUCCUAGGACAGCCCAAGGCAAGCCCCUCUGUCUACCUCUUCCCACCAUCCUCCGAGCAGCUCUCGUCGGAGCAUAAAGCCACCCUGGUGUGCCUGCUGGAAGGCUUCUAUCCUGGGGCAGCACAGGUGACCUGGACAGCUGAUGGGCAGGUCAUCAGCAGCGGCGUGGAGACCGGGCAGCCCCAGCGCCAGAGCAACAACAAGUACAUGGCCAGCAGCUACCUGAUGCUGAGUGAGAGCGAGUGGGCAAGGCACGAAACCUACUCCUGCAAGGUCAAGCACGAGGCUGGCAACGUGGAGAAGAGCCUGAAGAGAUCCCAGUGCAGCCACUAA